rnacentral:rRNA from 1 species
GAUGAACGCUGGCGGCGUGCCUAAUACAUGCAAGUCGAGCGAACAGACGAGGAGCUUGCUCCUCUGACGUUAGCGGCGGACGGGUGAGUAACACGUGGAUAACCUACCUAUAAGACUGGGAUAACUUCGGGAAACCGGAGCUAAUACCGGAUAAUAUAUUGAACCGCAUGGUUCUAUAGUGAAAGACGGUUUUGCUGUCACUUAUAGAUGGAUCCGCGCCGCAUUAGCUAGUUGGUAAGGUAACGGCUUACCAAGGCAACGAUGCGUAGCCGACCUGAGAGGGUGAUCGGCCACACUGGAACUGAGACACGGUCCAGACUCCUACGGGAGGCAGCAGUAGGGAAUCUUCCGCAAUGGGCGAAAGCCUGACGGAGCAACGCCGCGUGAGUGAUGAAGGUUUUCGGAUCGUAAAACUCUGUUAUUAGGGAAGAACAAAUGUGUAAGUAACUAUGCACGUCUUGACGGUACCUAAUCAGAAAGCCACGGCUAACUACGUG